UGAUUUGCUUUUUCAUUUAUAUUGAUAUAUAUUUGGGUUUGGGGCUGUGUACAUUUUUGAGACCUGGAAGCAUUUUUAUUGAUGCCAAGGGAAUUAUAAUUACUCGUCCAUUUAGGUAUUAUAUAUUUAUUUUUUAAACCUCAUAUUGUAACUUUUUCUUCCCCAGCUUUAUGCUCCGCGCUCUGCAAAACGAAAUGUACAGGGACCCUAACUUUGUCCAAUAAAAUGAUCUGUUUUUGUCCAGAAUACUUCACUUUUUUUUUUUUUUUUUUAAAUACUUUAAUCAGUACUUGUAGCAGCCAUUAGCCUGCUGGAAAUGUGGCAGCAGGGGAGCACUGCUCUUGUGAAUGUUCAUUCAUGGUUUUCAGAGCAUGGCAGACUCGAGUAUCCUCACAUUGUCCGCUAAGAAAGUGCAGAGAAAAUAGUUUUCCUGGGUGGUCCGACUCAUUAAUACACUCCGCACUUCUUGAUUUACGGCUCACAGUUCAACUGCUGCCAAUUAACGUGAAAACGCGUAGAAAAAAAAGAGGAAGAAAAAAAAACGGGAAGUCCAGAGAGGGGGGAGGCCACCGAGUUUCCUCCACAAAACCUGAGUGAAGAUGAACCUGCCCUCCACAUCAAGGUUUUGUCUAAAAAAGACGUCUCCUGCAGCCGACACCAGUCUGUUUGAAAACAUACAGUAGGAAGAUGAUGAGAAGGCUUCUUCUUUUCUGCUACUUCUUUGAUGGUUUGAAGAAGGGCGGCUCAGUUGGAAAAAGAACAAACCAGUGAAUCAUGCUUUUUCCCACACUGGAUGAUGAAGUGCACAUACCGUCUACUCUGCCAAGCAACAACUCACUCAUUUUAAGUGGAGGCACAAUACAAAGGUGGAAUUUGGAGUGUUCUGCAGGCCCCCUCCCCGUGAGACCCACAGACCAUACUGCGAAUGGGAUAUUGUUCUGGGCUCCAACAAAGCUGUUUUCACCCUCUUCAAUAUUACAGGAGGAGUUACCUGAUACCUAACAAUCAGCUAAUCCACUGCCCAUGGCGACGAGGUCACCUGUGCACAGGUAACUUUAUCCUGGUUGCCUGCCUCUCCCUCCCUUUCCCGCUAGUCUCUCCCAUUUUUUUCUUCUCUCUCUCUGUGCCUCAACAGUGAGCACAGACAAACAGCCUCUGUUUAUUUAGGUCAUGAGUUAGAUCGUAUAUAACUCCUCCAGCCAGGAUCCGCUGAGAGGACAACUCCUAUAAUCCACCACAGACACGCUGCGAAUAAAAUAAAAUCCCCUGCUGUUCGUCCAUUUGUCAAACUUUG